rnacentral:rRNA from 1 species
UGGUCAAUGGGCGCAAGCCUGAACCAAGCCAUGCCGCGUGCAGGAUGACGGUCCCUAUGGAUUGUAAACUGCUUUUGUACGGGAAGAAACACUGAUUCGUGAAUCAGCCUGACGGUACCGUAAGAAUAAGGAUCGGCUAACUCCGUGCCAGCAGCCGCGGUAAUACGGAGGAUCCAAGCGUUAUCCGGAAUCAUUGGGUUUAAAGGGUCUGUAGGCGGUCUUGUAAGUCAGUGGUGAAAGCCCAUCGCUCAACGGUGGAACGGCCAUUGAUACUGCAGGACUUGAAUUACCGGGAAGUAACUAGAAUAUGUAGUGUAGCGGUGAAAUGCUUAGAUAUUACAUGGAAUACCAAUUGCGAAGGCAGGUUACUACCGGUGGAUUGACGCUGAUGGACGAAAGCGUGGGGAGCGAACAGGAUUAGAUACCCUGGUAGUCCACGCCGUAAACGAUGGAUACUAGCUGCUGGGGGCGACUUCAGUGGCUAAGCGAAAGUGAUAAGUAUCCCACCUGGGGAGUACGAACGCAAGUUUGAAACUCAAAGGAAUUGACGGGGGCCCGCACAAGCGGUGGAGCAUGUGGUUUAAUUCGAUGAUACGCGAGGAACCUUACCAAGGCUUAAAUGCAGACUGACCGGUUUGGAAACAGACCUUUCGCAAGACAGUCUACAAGGUGCUGCAUGGUUGUCGUCAGCUCGUGCCGUGAGGUGUCAGGUUAAGUCCUAUAACGAGCGCAACCCCUGUUGUUAGUUGCCAGCGAGUCAGGUCGGGAACUCUAACAAGACUGCCAGUGCAAACUGUGAGGAAGGUGGGGAUGACGUCAAAUCAUCACGGCCCUUACGCCUUGGGCUACACACGUGCUACAAUGGCCGGUACAGAGAGCAGCCACUGGGCGACCAGGAGCGAAUCUAUAAAGCCGGUCACAGUUAGGAUCGGUGUGUGCA